GACGAACGCUGGCGGCGUGCCUAAUACAUGCAAGUAGAACGCUGAAGGAGGAGCUUGCUUCUCUGGAUGAGUUGCGAACGGGUGAGUAACGCGUAGGUAACCUGCCUGGUAGCGGGGGAUAACUAUUGGAAACGAUAGCUAAUACCGCAUAAGAGUAGAUGUUGCAUGACAUUUGCUUAAAAGGUGCAAUUGCAUCACUACCAGAUGGACCUGCGUUGUAUUAGCUAGUUGGUGGGGUAACGGCUCACCAAGGCGACGAUACAUAGCCGACCUGAGAGGGUGAUCGGCCACACUGGGACUGAGACACGGCCCAGACUCCUACGGGAGGCAGCAGUAGGGAAUCUUCGGCAAUGGACGGAAGUCUGACCGAGCAACGCCGCGGGAGUGAAGAAGGUUUUCGGAUCGUAAAGCUCUGUUGUAAGAGAAGAACGAGUGUGAGAGUGGAAAGUUCACACUGUGACGGUAGCUUACCAGAAAGGGACGGCUAACUACGUG
rnacentral:rRNA from 1 species